UCCCAAUGAUGCAACAUUUAUAUCAAUGACUCAAAUUCAUAUGCCAUCGUCACACUUCAUCUGGCUUCAAGCUGUGAGCAUAACCCAAGUAUUUCUUGUGCAAAGACUGAUUCAAGUGAGAUCUACCAAUAAUGGAGGUAAAUCAAUUUACAGACGACAUCAAAAUGUACAAGCGAAACACAAUAUUACCAAAAUAUAAGCACACUGUGCCACAUGAAUCCAGUGCUUUCUUGGUCAUGACCAGCUAAGGCUAAAGUUCUAUUAAAGAGCCUUUCCACGUGGUAGAACCUC
rnacentral:lncRNA from 1 species